CUGCCUGUGAGGUUUGCCCUGGGACACUCACUUCAGAGGGCUCAUCAGGAAGCGAUGCCUUUACAUACAGAAGAGAGACCCGCAGCAAUGCACGGGCUUGACCAAGGAAGUAUGGGGUCGGCGCUUCCUGGUCAGAGCUGAAAUACUUCCUAGAGCGAUAGUCCGCAUGAGAAGGUGCACACACAUGGUGAGGAAGACGGGUUCGGGUUGAAUGUUCGUGUGCAAGCAAAGGCACAGCCAAAUUCCACGCUCCUCAGAUCUGACUGACAGUUAAGAGUACCCACUCAGGAUUGUUCCUGAGGAGUCUGUUCCACCAGAGAGACCUACAGAUCCUUGGACUCUCCUGCAUAGCGAUGCAUCACUGUCAAGUUGGUCUGACUCUCCUGCAAGAAAGCUUCGGGCAUCAUUUUCCUGACAGAAAUGCCUGUGGCCCAGGUUCAAAAGAAGUCAGUGGCCAGGGAGGCUGGUGCCCUUCAGCUUUUAAACGUCUCAGCCACAGGUGGGGCCUUCACACUCAGGUGAAGAAGCCAACACAGCCAUUGCUACAGAGGUCCGGGAUCAGCCCUCGCCUCUCAGGGACAAGAAUGAGUCACAGCCAAUGAGUGGAGACAUUCCGCAAGUGAAAGAAGAAGCUCUCAUCGAAUGAGGGGGACCUGAAAAUGGAGCGCCAAGAGGACAGCUGCCAUUUUUAUACAUGGGAGUUGGGGGAAACAGCUUUGAUUGAUCUAAAGGAGAGGACACCAGGCUGGACGCCCUUGAUUGGCUCGUCUGUCCCCCACCUUUCCCCCCUUUCAUGAGUCACUAUGAGUUCGAGGGAGAGGGUUGUUUCCUAAAAUAACUUGCAUCCCUGGACUUUUCUUAACCUGAGCAUGUAGCAGGGUCUCAGGCCUGGGUCUUAACUUCUGGGUGCUCCUACAGGAUGGUCCUGGCUGUUGGCCUGUGUCACCUCAGGGGACAUACUCCUGUGAUUAGUCAGAGGCUCUUUGUCCCUAUUCACCUCAUUUUAGGGACCUCCC